rnacentral:rRNA from 1 species
AGGACGAACGCUGGCGGCGUGCUUAACACAUGCAAGUCGAACGGAAAGGCCCGCUUGCGGGUACUCGAGUGGCGAACGGGUGAGUAACACGUGGGCAACCUGCCCUCAGCUUCGGGAUAACACUUGGAAACAGGUGCUAAUACCGGAUAAUAACCUUUCAUCGCAUGGUGGUUGGUUCAAAGUUUUUCGGCUGAGGAUGGGCCCGCGGCCUAUCAGCUUGUUGGUGGGGUAAUGGCCUACCAAGGCGACGACGGGUAGCCGGCCUGAGAGGGCGACCGGCCACACUGGGACUGAGACACGGCCCAGACUCCUACGGGAGGCAGCAGUGGGGAAUAUUGCGCAAUGGGCGGAAGCCUGACGCAGCGACGCCGCGUGAGGGAUGACGGCCUUGGUUGUAACCUCUUCAGCUCUGACGAAGCGCAAGUGACGGUAGGAGCAGAAGAAGCACCGGCCAACUACGCGCCAGCAGCCGCGGUAA